rnacentral:rRNA from 1 species
AAAACUUUCAACAACGGAUCUCUUGGUUCUCGCAUCGAUGAAGAACGCAGCGAAAUGCGAUACGUAAUGUGAAUUGCAGAAUUCCGUGAAUCAUCGAAUCUUUGAACGCACAUUGCGCCCCUUGGUAUUCCGGGGGGCAUGCCUGUUUGAGCGUCAU